ensembl:lncRNA
GAAACUCUUAGCAUGGGUUCUUACGUUGAAAAUGUGAGGCUUCUCAUGGUCUGGGGUUCAGGUGUUCUCAUCUGUCCAUAGAAUUCUUGAAGUCUUUGGUUGGUUGUUUUUCCUUUUUUUUUUCUUCUUUUUUUUUCUUUUUACCUUUACAACUCUUAUGGGAACCUUUCCUAACAUAAUGGUAAGUCUAUGUGAAGUUCUUUGUACAGCCAUGAAAGCCACAGGCAGAGGAUCCUAAUAGCAUUUGUUUUUCCUAGUCCAGUAUGUUGCACCCCAUGGCCUUGAAGCAAGAUAGCUUUACCAUCGAUGACAGGGUCUUUUCAUCAAUAUAAAGAGGGUGGAGAUGGUUCUACUUAACGGCUUUCUUCGUGAGAAUAUGGAAGAGUUUCAUGAGCUUGACACGUUCUGACAGGUUGGGUGCUUGAAAAUGUUAACUUGAAGUUCUAAUAUAAAGAAAAUGUUUGCCAAGUCUUCCAGAAAGACUCAGAAGUAGAGCUUUUUCAGCCAUGUUUUCUCGGUCGCAAGAGAUUGUAGUUCAUUUAUAAGACUGAUAGUCAUAACACCAAGUGUUGGGGCCUUAAGAAGCAUCGAAAGGUGUUCUCCCAACUCACCCCACAUAUGUUUGGUUACAGCAGUGAUACUGGAAGUGGAGUCACUCUUACAGAAGUGGAGUCACUCGGAUUCAGAAUUGUAAAGAAACCAACAGGAGUUUCUCUGUGUCGUUACAUGAGUGUGUUUGUUGUUUGUGAGACAGGAAGAGGGGAAUGAUAGCAGUCCAUGAUAAUAUUUUAUUUGGGUCCCAGUUUUGUCAUGAUAGGAAACAAAAGAAAGAGAAUGAGUGGUUUGUAUAUGUCCCUGGAACCUAGAAAUAAAAAC